AUGAACGCUGGCGGCGUGCUUAACACAUGCAAGUCGAACGAGGUCCAUGGAGCUUGCUCCGGAAGAUCUAGUGGCGAACGGGUGCAUAACACGUGAGAAACCUGCCUCAGUCUCUGGGAUAACAGUUGGAAACGACUGCUAAUACCGGAUGCCGUCACACCAUCACAUGGUGGAGUGACGAAAGAUUUAUCGGAUUGAGAGGGUCUCGCGGCCUAUCAGCUAGUUGGAGAGGUAACGGCUCACCAAGGCAUCGACGGGUAGCUGGUCUGAGAGGAUGAUCAGCCACACUGGGACUGAGACACGGCCCAGACUCCUACGGGAGGCAGCAGUGGGGAAUCUUGCACAAUGGGCGAAAGCCUGAUGCAGCAACGCCGCGUGCGGGAAGAAGGCCCUAGGGUUGUAAACCGCUUUCAGUAGGGAAGAAAAUGACGGUACCUACAGAAGAAGGUGCGGCCAACUACGU
rnacentral:rRNA from 1 species